UGGGGAAUCUUCCGCAAUGGACGAAAGUCUGACGGAGCAACGCCGCGUGAUUGAUGACGGCCUUCGGGUUGUAAAGCUCUGUUAAUCGGGACGAAUGGCCUUCUUGCGAAUAGUUAGAAUAAUUGACGGUACCGGAAUAUAAAGCCACGGCUAACUACGUGCCCUUNCCGCGGUAAUACGUAGGUGGCAAGCGUUGUCCGGAAUUAUUGGGCGUAAAGCGCGCGCAGGCGGACUGGUCAGUCUGUCUUAAAAGUUCGGGGCUUAACCCCGUGAUGGGAUGGAAACUGCCAAUCUAGAGUAUCGGAGAGGAAAGUGGAAUUCCUAGUGUAGCGGUGAAAUGCGUAAAUAUUAGGAAGAACACCAUUGGCGAAGGCGACUUUCUGGACGAAAACUGACGCUGAGGCGCGAAAGCCAGGGGAGCGAACGGGAUUAGAUACCCCGGUAGUCCUGGCCGUAAACGAUGGGUACUAAGUGUAGGAGGUAUCGACCCCUUCUGUGCCGGAUUUAACGCAAUAGCUAUCCCGCCUGGGGAGUACUACCGCAAGGCUG
rnacentral:rRNA from 1 species